GGAAGGAGCACUGGGGAGGGAGUCGGCGAGUUUGGGUCCUGGUUCUGUGCUGCGGUCCUGGGCUGGUGUGGUGUGUAACGGGAAAAGGCCUGUCACAAAGCGUGGCAAAUGUGCUCGUGGCAGAUGCCCACGAACGUUUGUCUCCCUGUUCUCUGGCCUCCACCUCCCCUGAAGUUUUCCCAAAGGCAAAAUGAUGGGUUGGACAAAGAUCCGAAGUGCAGCCACGUUCGCUGCGCAUGGGGCAAGGUGGGGGGGGGGUUUCUGGGGCCCCAGAGCGCUCUGCUCCCAUCUCAAGGACCCCGCUUCUGGAGGCAGGGUUAACGCUCCAUGUAGGCAGAGGAAACACCCCGGGUUUCUUAGGAUUCUUGCUGUGUGACCUUGGGAAGUCCCUGCACGCCUCGGGCUGCAGCUGCCGCCUGUGAAAGUAGGUGCUGCACUUCCUGGAUGGUGGAAGGUUGCUAAGGUAACCACAAAGUGCCUGCUCAGCAGCAGCUGCCAUCAUCAUCAUAGUUAUUAUUAUUAGGGUUUUGUCCUGUGCCAGCAUUUGACAAUUCUAACCUCACCUGGAGGCCCGCUAAAAGAGCAGGCGAGGGCUGGUGCUCGUUUAGGGAUGCCUAAAACGUUUGCAGGGGGAGUAGGAGAAAGGAAGGACAAAGGAUGUUCAUGACGGUCAAAGACCUGGGUUUGGGACUUCCCGGGGUGAGGGGGUGCGGAGGGAGGGCCCCAGAUCGCGCCUUCUCCCUGUAGGUCUGGUCCCGGGUCGCGGCGCGCGUGCGCAGGAGGAGGCCGUAGGCCCGGCCAGCAGAGGGCGCCGCGAGCACCACGCCCGGGCUGAGCUGUGCGGGGCCCUGCCUUGCUGCGCGGUGGGCAUGCCGGCCUGGCUGCGAUGGGAGAGGGCUACGCUGGGGAGCUGAGGCACGAUCGAGCACCCACAAGUUUUGCUGGGAGUAAAGAGGGGAACGAGGUGCAUGCUCGGAGAACCGCACCCGCCAUCCAAGUGACAGAGGUCAGCCCAGGACUGGGAGAGCUUGGAGGAGGGGCCGCCUACCUAGAGAGAACAGAUCCCGGUGGCUGUGAUCGGUCAUUCCAGCUUCGUGCUGGCUGCAGGUGGAUGAUGCCCAGCUGGCUGCCGAUGACUUCUGCACCAAGUGAGGCUGGGUCUCUGGAGCUGCCCCAGGGACUGGACAAGCUGACCCUGGCCGGAGCCAACCUGGAGAUGCAGAUUGAGAACCUCAAGGAGGACCUGGUCUACCUGAAGAAGAACCAUGAGGAGGAAAUGAACGCCCUUUGA
ensembl:lncRNA